CUGGAAGCGACUCUCUAGGCACCAACACAACUGAAUCCUAAUGAAGUAGUUUUGGUGCACAGAGAAGGUAAAACUUUGCAGUUUUAGACAGAUAUGUUUACGUUUUCCCAAGCACAUGCCUCACGUUGUGGUCAGCCUUUUAUCCAGCAUGAUGCUGUUUAACGCUCAUUGAAUUGUUUAUAGUGCCUGGCAUCCAAUUGUGCAAUCAUGUUCAAGUAAUUUAACACUAAUUAAGGGUCACCCACAGCAUGGCCCCUGCUGGCACAAACGCUUAGGCCAAGAAAUCAUUCCUGCAAUGGGCUCUGUGAUUGUCUGAGAAUGUCAGAUGACUUCCUUUAGCUUGCAGUUUCUAUUCAGGCUAAUGCUUCGUCAUUAGUCCAAGUAGCACACAGGGGUUGGGCUGUUCGGGGUCUCUCAUUUAGCAUUAAAUAUUAAAAACCUUUUAAUUUUGAAUGGAAGGAUUGCAACA